GUUAUUAGGGAAGAACAUACGGUAAGUAACUGUGCACGUCUUGACGGUACCUAAUCAGAAAGCCACGGCUAACUACGUGCCAGCAGCCGCGGUAAUACGUAGGUGGCAAGCGUUAUCCGGAAUUAUUGGGCGUAAAGCGCGCGUAGGCGGUUUUUUAAGUCUGAUGUGAAAGCCCACGGCUCAACCGUGGAGGGUCAUUGGAAACUGGAAAACUUGAGUGCAGAAGAGGAAAGUGGAAUUCCAUGUGUAGCGGUGAAAUGCGCAGAGAUAUGGAGGAACACCAGUGGCGAAGGCGACUUUCUGGUCUGUAACUGACGCUGAUGUGCGAAAGCGUGGGGAUCAAACAGGAUUAGAUACCCUGGUAGUCCACGCCGUAAACGAUGAGUGCUAAGUGUUAGGGGGUUCCGCCCCUUAGUGCUGCAGCUAACGCAUUAAGCA
rnacentral:rRNA from 1 species